UAUAUACUACAUUUUCUAUGUCCAUUCCUCUGUUGAGGGACAUCUGGUGAAUAUUAGUAUCUUGCCUGUGUGUAUGAAUAUGCAUGUGAUGUGUGCCUGUUCCUCAUAGUAGUCAGAACAUGACCUCAGAAUUCCUGAAGUUGGAAUAGUAGGUAGUUAUUAGUCACCUUGUAAGUACAGUUGAUUCCAAUUAUUUGCAAGACUAGCAAGAGCACUUAUUUUACUGGUAAGCCAUCAUUCCUGCCCUAUGUUGCUUAUUUAUGAUUAACAUUUAUAUUUCUAAUGUUUUAUCCAUGUAUUCAUAACUGUAAGCAUGCAUUUCCUAUUAGUAAGCUCUUACUAAUAUUACAGUUUAAACUGGGGCACUUAAAGUUUCAGGAAGAUGAAUACAGAACUGUAUUCAAUUUUAUAUCUUUGCAGGAACUUCAGUAAAGACCUCUGAGUUCUUUCUAUUUUGUUUGUUUAAUUGAUUCUUGCAGGGGAAUCAAGGUCUUAAUAUAUACCUCUGCAUGCCCUGUGUCCCAUUACAUGGACUAGCCUGGCAUCCACCUCAAUGAGAUAGAUUUGUCUCUGGCUCCUGAUUGCUGGGAUUAAAGGCGUGAGCAAGUGUUUCUCUUGCAAGAGUAUAUCUUAUUCAAAGGGCAGAGAAAUGACAAGGGUCACUAUCCUCUUCAGUUCUCUUCAAAAAUUGCUUGGUAAUUCCAUUAUAACAUCCGUAUUAUGGAAUAGACGUUGGAAGUACCAGAAUUAUAAGAAUGUAUUGUCAAUGUAGUAUACAUUGAGAGUGCUGCCAGUAACAGCCUUUUUGUUGUACACAUGUUUGAGAUAUUUAGGAUGCAGUGACCUUUAACGAUGUGCAUGUGGACUUCACUUCCGAAGAGUGGGCUUUGUUGGAUCCUUCCCAGAAAGGUCUUUACAAAGAUGUGAUGCUGGAGACCUACUGGAACCUCACUGCUAUAGACCUGAAAGAAGUCAUACUGAAGAGAAACCCUAUGAAGAUAUGAAGUGUGGUGAAGCCUUUGCACAUCGCAGUAGUCUCCGAGCACAUGAAAGGACACACACUGGA